rnacentral:rRNA from 1 species
GCUCCUACGGGGGCAGCAGUGAGGAAUAUUGGUCAAUGGUCGGGAGACUGAACCAGCCAAGCCGCGUGAGGGAUGAAGGUACAGAGUAUCGUAAACCUCUUUUGUCAGGGAACAAAGGCGGGGACGUGUCCCCGGAUGAGUGUACCUGAAGAAAAAGCAUCGGCUAACUCCGUGCCAGCAGCCGCGGUAAUACGGAGGAUGCGAGCGUUAUCCGGAUUUAUUGGGUGUAAAGGGCGUGUAGGCGGGCAUGCAAGCCAGAAGUGAAAUCUGGGGGCUUAACCCCCACA